AGUGAACGCUGGCGGUAGGCCUAACACAUGCAAGUCGAACGGCAGCACAGUAAGAGCUUGCUCUUACGGGUGGCGAGUGGCGGACGGGUGAGGAAUACAUCGGAAUCUACUUUUUCGUGGGGGAUGACGUAGGGAAACUUACGCUAAUACCGCAUACGACCUACGGGUGAAAGCAGGGGAUCUUCGGACCUUGCGCGAUUGAAUGAGCCGAUGUCGGAUUAGCUAGUUGGCGGGGUAAAGGCCCACCAAGGCGACGAUCCGUAGCUGGUCUGAGAGGAUGAUCAGCCACACUGGAACUGAGACACGGUCCAGACUCCUACGGGAGGCAGCAGUGGGGAAUAUUGGACAAUGGGCGCAAGCCUGAUCCAGCCAUACCGCGUGGGUGAAGAAGGCCUUCGGGUUGUAAAGCCCUUUUGUUGGGAAAGAAAAGCAGCAGGUUAAUACCCCGCUGUUCUGACGGUACCCAAAGAAUAAGUACCGGCUAACUUCGUG
rnacentral:rRNA from 1 species